rnacentral:lncRNA from 1 species
UUUUUUUUCUUCUUGCACUCUUCCAUCUAAUAUCUUCACUUUGCUUAAAUCACUCACUUCAACUAACUUGCCUUUUAUUACUUAAUCCUUGUGGUUCUAGAUUAAUUUUAAAUUUUCAAAAAUCUAAUUCACCCCCCCUCUUGGGUUGCAUAGCUGGGUAACAAGCAUAUUAUAAUUAUGAAAUCUGACAGAUGAAUGUGAAAAUUAUUUUUCUAAAUAGAUAUAUUGAGGAAGAUAUCUGUAUGAAGUAACCUAUGGGUUUCAUCUCCAGUGAUAGUGAUCAUAAGAUCUGCAAGCUAC